AGUGAACGCUGGCGGUAGGCCUAACACAUGCAAGUCGAACGGCAGCACAGUAAGAGCUUGCUCUUACGGGUGGCGAGUGGCGGACGGGUGAGGAAUACAUCGGAAUCUACUUUUUCGUGGGGGAUAACAUAGGGAAACUUACGCUAAUACCGCAUACGACCUACGGGUGAAAGCAGGGGAUCUUCGGACCUUGCGCGAUUGAAUGAGCCGAUGUCGGAUUAGCUAGUUGGCGGGGUAAAGGCCCACCAAGGCGACGAUCCGUAGCUGGUCUGAGAGGAUGAUCAGCCACACUGGAACUGAGACACGGUCCAGACUCCUACGGGAGGCAGCAGUGGGGAAUAUUGGACAAUGGGCGCAAGCCUGAUCCAGCCAUACCGCGUGGGUGAAGAAGGCCUUCGGGUUGUAAAGCCCUUUUGUUGGGAAAGAAAAGCAGCAGGUUAAUACCCCGCUGUUCUGACGGGACCCAAAGAAUAAGCACCGGCUAACUUCGU
rnacentral:rRNA from 1 species